rnacentral:rRNA from 1 species
UACGGAGGGGGCUAGCGUUGUUCGGAAUUACUGGGCGUAAAGCGCACGUAGGCGGCUUUGUAAGUUAGAGGUGAAAGCCCAGGGCUCAACCCUGGAAUUGCCUUUAAGACUGCAUCGCUUGAACAUCGGAGAGGUAAGUGGAAUUCCGAGUGUAGAGGUGAAAUUCGUAGAUAUUCGGAAGAACACCAGUGGCGAAGGCGACUUACUGGACGAUUGCUGACGCUGAGGUGCGAAAGCGUGGGGAGCAAACAGG